rnacentral:rRNA from 1 species
GACGAACGCUGGCGGCGUGCUUAACACAUGCAAGUCGAACGGAAAGGCCCUGCUUUUGUGGGAUGCUCGAGUGGCGAACGGGUGAGUAACACGUGAGUAACCUGCCCUUGACUUUGGGAUAACUUCAGGAAACUGGGGCUAAUACCGGAUAGGAGCUCCUGCUGCAUGGUGGGGGUUGGAAAGUUUCGGCGGUUGGGGAUGGACUCGCGGCUUAUCUGCUUGUUGGUGGGGUAGUGGCUUACCAAGGCUUUGACGGGUAGCCGGACUGAGAGGGUGACCGGACACAUGGGGACUGAGAUACGGCCCAGACUCCUACGGGAGAGAGCGGUGGGGAAGAUUGCCCAAUGGGCGGAAGCCGGGUGCAGCAACGCGGCGUGCUGGAUGAUGGCCUUCGGGUUGUGAGCCGCUUUCGUCUGUGAUGAAGCGUGGGUGACGGUAAUGUGUAAAGAAGCACCGGCUAACUACGUG